GGGUCGUCAGAGGGGGGCCUCCCGCCUGGAGCUGUGCACAGUGCCGGGGGGGAGGGUGGGGUGUCAUGAUCAAUUGUUGAUCUCUCCAUUUCUGUCUCUGGAUUACCUAUUAAUUGCUCGGUUUAUUAAAAAUCUGGAAAUUGAUGAAAUAUUAAGUUGACAAAAUGUUCAAAAGCCAAAAAUAUUCAGUUUAAUGUCGCAGAAUACGAAGAAAAGCAGUAAAUCGUCACAGCCUCUUACCAGCCUCUACAGAAUGAGCACAGUGUCCAAUAUCACAAAUAUCAAGUAAAUGUGACAAGGUGUCGGUGGAGAAGCGAACAGGUGUCACAGCAGGAAAACUGGAAAUACUGUUAUUACUUUGAAGUAAAGUAGAGAAGAGGUUCUGGUGAAGAGUGAGGAGCAGCCACUGUACCCGGAUGCCGCUGUACGGUUUGCGGUCAAUGUGAAAAGGCCAAGAUGUCAUCAUGAUUGUACAUGAAUACCAACCAACCGCUCUGCAAACCACGAUCUGCACAAACACCUUUUUUGCGUCGUCUGCCAUUCAAAGCGACACGAGCGAGCCGUAAAAGCAGAACUGCAGACCGGCGCUGUGGUGCGAGCACCGUAUUAAAGUGUCAAUUUACACACCCUUGUCUUAUCUAACCUCAGAGCUCCGACCGAAGUGCAAAGAAAGUCAAAACAACAGCUGACAACUGCCCGUCAGUCUCCGACAACAACGGGAGGGGGAUGAGUCAACAUUGACGAGCCAGAGGUGUUUGCUGGCCGCGGGGUCAAAGGUCAUUGCUGUUGAGCGAUAUUGUCCGUCAUGAGAAGUGAGGGCAGAGAGGAAGAAAUGGAGAAAACGAGCGGGGGAUGAGUGCGAGAUUAUAGGAAGCUGAGGUGACAAUGACGUUUGUUUUGUUUUUUUUUAAGCUGAGCACACAUUCAAUUUCACAGUAAAUUCAAGAGAACUACUUUAUUUCUGGCAGAGAGCGUCACAACUAAGAAAAUUAUUUCUUUCAUUCAGUCUUUCAUUUCAAAACAGACUCAGGAUUACUCUUCGGUUAAUAUGGGUUUUCCAAUUUUCAUUCUUUUCUUGGUUUUCAUGCGAACGCACACGCUUUUAGCACUCGCCCGUUGUUCUCUUUGUCAUUAUUAGAACAACAGAUGGACUGUUUUCAUCGUCUGGUUGAGUGUUUUUCCCCAUUUGCACAGUCUGUAUUUAGGUGCCACUGCAGGUGCUACUACUUUUGUAUGAAAAAUGUCAAAAUAAACAUAUAUUCAAAGAUAUAGACUUUUUUUUUUUUUUCUAGUAGAAUAUGACUUAAUUAUUGUUACUAACAUCUGGGUUUCAAUACCACUAGAAAUUUCAUAAUUUCUUCCCAUUACCUUGUACAUUUCUUCAUUUUUAUAUCAGUAAAAUUAGCCAAAAUUCUUUUGUUGUCUUAUAAGGAAUAACUUAUCAUAUAAAAGGAUGUAGCCACCUUAAAACAACAAGCUUAAAAUUUACAAAAUUAUUAUUUAAAUCUGCAAUAUCAGAUCAGAAAAAUAUAAAGGAUCUGACCAAGCAUCCUGUGCAAAAUGGGCAAAAUUUAGUCAAUAAACAAAAUGAUUGAGGUUUGAUUCGCAGUCCUUUACUUAAACAUAUAAGUAAAUGAGUAAAUCCUAAUUACCUUAAGCAUCAUCAGUUACUGAAACUGUCAAUAUUGACCAAUAUCAUAUUGAUAGUUUAUUAGCACUGGCUUUACAAAUCCACUUCUGUCUAUUAUGCUGACAUCAACAAACUUUCAACGGCGUUUCGGUGCUUUGUAAGUAGAGCUGUGCAGCCAAUCACACGACAGCAUCAGUCUCCACAGACAUCGUUCAUGUUUGACAUUCCUGGGCCAAAUCGUUCAGGUUAUUCUUCUCAAAAAUCUAAGAGGGAACUUUCUCAGCCGUGGGGGACCCGACACACGACGCGGGAAUUACUGAGGAAUCCUGCGGCGCUGGUUCACUGGCAGGUUCAUAUUUACCAUAACACUGCUGCACCGACGGGUCAUAUAAGGUUUCCCUCAGCUACGCUAUUUUAGUUAACCCUUUAUGUACAGUGCUGUGUUUCCCUUUCAUGAAUUAUUAUUUUACUGUAUUUAUCUUUUGAUUUUUUUCAUUUUGAUAAUGGCCAUAUGUGUUAAAAUACAUUUUGUGAAGCAUUUUAAGAUGCAUUUAUGCCUGAGUUUUUUUUUUAUUCUGCUCUUUCCACUUCUCUUAUUUUCCAUCACUCGCUUACAACCUGUUGCUUGAUUUGCUAAUUUGGUUUUCUUUUUCUUUGCUAGUGUUUAAAGCACUGUGCGCUAUGGUUUAUGUAUGAAAGGAAGUAAUAAAGACAUUAAAUCAUGUUAAUAUCUAGUAUCUUAAACUUUUUCUCCUGCUCCUUUAGCUGCUAACCUGCUGCUUUAAUGCAGCUGUGCGGUGGUCCGGUGGACAGGUGGCAUACAGCAGGUUUAUCAAAGCUUUUUUUUUCUUUUUUUGCUGCUGCUGGAAAGUGGUGAAACCGAAACCAAACAGCAAAUGUGCAACAAAACCAAAAGACUGAGCUAAAAGAGGCUGAAAAGCUCCGUACAGCUGCUGAAACUGGUGAUAAUUCUCAGGCUCCUCACCCAUGCGACACAUUUCUCACAUGAAACUGGUUUCAUCUGUUGUUGAUAUACAGAAAAUGAUUAGUGGACAUUUAAAUGAAGUAAAUUAGUGCAUGUUCAUUAUUUGUCCCACUUGUUUAGUCUCAGCGUGAGAUCUUUGUUGAUGCAGUUGUUCUGUGUUUGCCAGAUGUUAACCGUGAUUUUCCAGACUGUUCCCAUGAGGACAUGCUGGAUUUUGUGCUCUUGCUGUUUAGGCCUGGAUUAUUUGGUCUCCUCUGGAGCUCUGUUAGUUGACUCAUGUUGCUGCUGAUUGGCUCUUUUAUGGCUGACAGAUGCUGCUAACUGGCAACCAGCCAACUAUGACCCAUCUCUGUCCAAGUGUUUGGAACAGCAGUUUAGUUACUGCAGACUUAAAGCCGUCUAUACCAUGUUUGUCUACCUAAAACACAGCGACAGAUUAUUGCCUCUUGAUUUUUUUUUUUUGUUCUUUUUUGUUUUAUGUUGGUCAGAAAAAAAACAGACAAACACACAGUGUGUGUGUGUGUGUGUGCGUGUGCAUGUGCGCAGAGGAGUGCAGAGAAGAACUGGGUGUGUCUCCAUCUGGCUGGCAGAGAGAGAGAACAAGUGAGCGAGAGACCUAGAAAGAGAGCAAGAGAGAAGCUGCCUGGCUGUUAUCACACCACACCCUGUUGACGCAAAGCCGGCCACCACUUCCCUACACACCCUCGUCUCUUUACACACACACACACACACACACACACACACACACACACACACACACACAGCAGACAAAGUUAGAGCACUCUGCGCUAACUUAGCUACAUAUUACCCCUAUGUGCACUUCAUGCACAAAGUCACACACACACAUGCCCAAACCACAAAGCCGUGGUCAGAGCACUUCUCUAAAGCUUACACUGAAUUCAAAGUACUCACAGGCCAGAGCUAACCUCAAACAUGAGUGAGUGUGUGCAGACACAAACGGACACAAAGACACAAAUUCACAGGAUUUACAAUGCGAAAUAAUUAUGACACGGCUCCAGCCUGUCAGACAGUCUGAGGAGACGUCAAAGAGAAACCAGAGGCUGGCCCACCUCCAUCAACAGCCCCUAAAAUAUGACACUUAAGACAGAUAAAACAGCUGCUUUUUUUUUGCCUUCUUUUGACAGAAAAUAACCAAAUAAAAACACGAGAGAGAAAUGGGAAGCAGGACGCACAGCCAAGGUCUUCAUUGGUCCAAUCGGGUCCUAGAAUCCAACACCGGACCCAGGACCAGGUCCAAACAAUAUUCUAAGACCACAGUGUUCUUUAAACUAGUUUGUACAGUGUGUUACCCGACCACGUUUUAAAGCAAACAUGUUUAUACCUGUUGUGAAAGGCAACACACAUAAAUAAACCUGACUGGUAAUGCCAGAAUUAAAAAUAAAAAAAAUCCACAUUAUUGUUGUUAUCAAGCAGCGUGUUUACACUUGGCUGAGCGGGGACGUUGGCCUAUCAGAAAAGAAAAAGAGGUAAUAAAGUAUAAGCAAACUAGAUUUCUCAACGUGGUGACUGCGUCUUCACCUUGCAGCAGCUGCUUCAUGAGGAAACCAAUAAAUCAACCACUACCUACCAAUAAAACUAAAUCUUCAAGUUUCUGUUUCAGUUCACAAAGUUCACAUUUGUGCGUUGCUUUGCACAAAAGCGUUUGAGUUGACGUGUGCGCAGAACUUGGACGUGUCUCUCUGUUAGAUCGUCUCAUGCUGGUUACACAAGAGACACAAAAUGAACAGACUGAAAAGAUCAUUUGUGAAAAUAGUUUCAGCUCAGCAGGUGCAUCACACCUGGCUUAUAUUUGCCAUAGAGGG